rnacentral:piRNA from 1 species
UAUCUAGGGUUGACUGUCAUUACGAGGC